AGAAUCAACGCUGGCGGCGUGCCUAAUACAUGCAAGUCGUACGCGAAAGUCCCGCAAGGGGCGAAGUAGAGUGGCAAACGGGUGAGUAACGCGUGGGCGACCUACCUUCGAGUGGGGGAUAACCUUCCGAAAGGAGGGCUAAUACCGCAUGACAUUCCGUGUUUGGAUACAUGGAUAUCAAAGCCGGGGAUCGCAAGGACCUGGCGCUUGGAGAGGGGCCCGCGUCCGAUUAGCUAGUUGGUGGGGUAACGGCCCACCAAGGCUUCGAUCGGUA
rnacentral:rRNA from 1 species